ACACUGAGCUCUGUUCCUGAUCACCUGAGCAGAACUGCUCCUCUCCUCUAACAAACACAACAGAGUCACGCCCUCCACCUCUGGCUCCAGGUAGCAGCAGGUUUCUCCCUUCCCCCUCCCUUCCUCUCUCUCCUCAGGUGGGUGUGGAGCUAGUUAGUAGACAGGUGCUGCUAAUCCAGUCAGCAGGAAUCCCAUAAACACAGACUGCAGACGACUCAGUGUUGGACUGUUCAACAGUCACAAUGCUGCUGGAACCUGUGAACUUCCUCAUGGGGAGGAAUAAAGUAUCUCAUCUCAUCUAAACUUCAAAUAAUCUGUGAUAGUUGUGUUUUCUUUUCAAAAUAAAAUCUUUUAAAACAGA